GCCAGCAGCCAUAUCACCCUGCAACUCACAACUGGCAACCCACUGAAGCUAAGCGGGUGUGAGCCUGGUCAGUACCUGGAUGGGAGACCUCCUGGAAAAAACUAAGGUUGCCUCUGUAA
rnacentral:rRNA from 1 species